CAGAGGGUGCGAGCGUUGUUCGGAAUUAUUGGGCGUAAAGGGAGUGUAGGCUGUUUGGAAAGUCUUCUGUGAAAUCUACGGGCUUACCCUGUAAAGUGCAGAGGAAACUACCAGGCUUGAGUGUCGGAGAGGACAGGGGAAUACCCAGUGUAGAGGUGAAAUUCGUAGAGAUUGGGUGGAACACCAGUGGCGAAGGCGCCUGUCUGGCUGACAACUGACGCUGAGACUCGAAAGCAUGGGGAGCAAACAGGAUUAGAUACCCUGGUAGUCCAUGCCGUAAACGAUGAUAGCUAGAUGUGUGAGGUAUUGACCCCUUACGUGUCGAAGUCAACACGAUAAGCUAUCCGCCUGGGGAGUACGGUCGCAAGAUUA
rnacentral:rRNA from 1 species